GAUCAAGCGAUACAUUUUGACGAGAACCGUUACAAACUACAUAAUUAUUUGAACUUGGUACUUUCAAAAUUGGGAUGCAUCGUCGAGAAUGUUCACUGUUUAGAAAUGGCCAAACAUCAAUUGGAAUUGCAUCUAAGAAAUCGUGAUAAAUAUAAAAUAAUACCUGAAUGGCAUAAAUGGACAUAUUGUAAUGGUUUAAAAAGAGCGAACUACACUGUUUGAAACAAGUAUGGACAGAAGCAACUACUAAAUACCAAGAAGAAUCUGAUUAUACAAUGUUUGAAUUUCUUACUUGCACCGAGAAUCACCAAGUUCUUAUUUAUCUGCAGUCAGCUUUAAGGAGAUUUGAAAUGGAUUUGUUCUUUAAUAGUAUAAAUAAUGAAAUGCAAGAAGUGAUAAAAAAUCAACAGCGUAAAAUAUAUACUAAAGUUUUUUUCUCUAUUCUUGCGACACAUACUAAAAAUAAUACAAUGCUUCGAGAAAUAUUAACAAAUUUUGAUAAUAUAAAAUUUAGCCAUAUCAAUAGCACUGCAGCAUUAAUUGUUCUUAUUAAUAAUGCAUACUCUGUAAAUCAACUUGACCAGAUAUCUGCAUUCGCGAAGCAACAUAUGCAACAAUUAUUUCCAGAAGUUGACCAGAAGGCUGCAAAACGUUUAAUACAGAUUAAAGUUCUU